rnacentral:rRNA from 1 species
UACGAAGGGGGCUAGCGUUGCUCGGAAUUACUGGGCGUAAAGCGCACGUAGGCGGAUUGUUAAGUCAGGGGUGAAAUCCUGGAGCUCAACUCCAGAACUGCCUUUGAUACUGGCGAUCUCGAGUCCGGGAGAGGUGAGUGGAACUGCGAGUGUAGAGGUGAAAUUCGUAGAUAUUCGCAAGAACACCAGUGGCGAAGGCGGCUCACUGGCCCGGUACUGACGCUGAGGUGCGAAAGCGUGGGGAGCAAACAGG